AAGAGGGGUAGAAUGUAACGACCCGCUAAGCCGAUAUUAUUAUAAACAAUAUUAUUAGCUUGAUUACCUAUAUAGGCGACUUUUUGCGUAAUUAAUUUCGAACUACGAUAGAGGGUUGUUUACGAUAGAGUGUCGUUGUUGUUUCUAACGUCAGCCAAGUACAAUAUAUAUAUAUAUAUAAAUAUAUAUAUAUAUAUAUAUAUAUGUAUAAAUAAAUAAAUAAGAUCCCAAAAUCAAAAUUUUAAUGUCCGGUACAUCCAAUAAAAGUCCAACAAAAUUUAAUCUAUACAUCCUGCAUUCUAAGCAAAUCGGGAACUUCAACGCGGACAACCACAAACUUGAACCGAUUAUACCUACACCAAAUUAAAUGAAGAAGUGAACAAAUACUAAAACAAUUACUUUAAUAAACAAAUAAAAUAUAAAAAAAAGGAGAGAGAAAGAGCAGAUCCAAUGGAUUUUUUUUUAACAAAGCAUUUAAUGCUACAUUUAAGUAGAGAUAAGAAUGUUAGCAGCUUGCUGCCCACGCCACUUGUCAUCCUUAAUCCUUAAGUAUGCCUAAUCAUUUAGGCAUAUCACUUUCUUUCACUCACCCCAUCACCAUCUAAAUUCUCUGUAUACACCAACGUGGAUAGAUGAUAGAGGAGUCGAGGAAGGAGAAUUUCACACAAUCGUACAAUCAAACGAAGGCAUGCAGAACAUAUUGUGCAGAGUGUUGCGUCUGGAAAUGAUACGACUCAUAACAUAUGUUGGUAUGGAUUCGAUGGUGGAGCGAAAUCCAUGGAUGCAUCAGGUGUUGAACUGGAUGACGCUUCCAACAUCACAACGAAAUCUCCAAUCAUAAUAAUUUUUGGUAAACCCUUUUCUUACAAGAUGCUCCUUCACCUUAUCAGCAAAAAAAAAUUCAUAUUAUCACAAUGUGCGCAUGGAGAUCUAAUUUUUGAACCAUCCAUUCUAGAGGGAUGUUGCAUAGCAUAACUUAUAAAGUUAUCUACUCCGUUAAUGAAAUCAAGAUUGUUCUCUCCGGUAGCAAAUUUUCUCUUAUACAUCAACUCUGUUCCUG